GACGAACGCUGGCGGCGUGCUUAACACAUGCAAGUCGAACGGAAAGGCCCUGCUUGUGGGGGGUGCUCGAGUGGCGAACGGGUGAGUAACACGUGAGUAACCUGCCCUUGACUUUGGGAUAACUUCAGGAAACUGGGGCUAAUACCGUAUAGGAGCUCCUGCUGCAUGGUGGGGGUUGGAAUGUUUCGGCGGUUGGGGAUGGACUCGCGGCUUAUCAGCUUGUUGGUGGGGUAGUGGCUUACCAAGGCUUUGACGGGUAGCCGGCCUGAGAGGGUGACCGGCAACAUUGGGACUGAGAUACGGCCCGGACUCCUACGGGAGGCAGCAGUGGGGAAUAUUGCACAAUGGGCGGAGGCCUGAGGCAGCAACGCCGCGUGCGGGAUGACGGCCUUCGGGUUGUAAACGGCUUUCGCCUGUGACGAAGCGUGAGUGACGGUAAUGGGUAAAGAAGCACCGGCUAACUACGUG
rnacentral:rRNA from 1 species